CUGGAGCGUGCGGUGGUACGGCAGACUGGAGUGCGUAGGGGAGACUGGAAUUCCUGGUGUAGCGGUGGAAUGCGCAGAUAUCAGGAGGAACACCGGUGGCGAAGGCGGUCUCUGGGCCGUUACUGACGCUGAGGAGCGAAAGCAUGGGGAGCGAACAGGAUUAGAUACCCUGGUAGUCCAUGCUGUAAACGUUGGGAACUAGGUGUGGGGUCCAUUUCCACGGAUUCUGCGCCGUAGCUAACGCAUUAAGUUCCCCGCCUGGGGAGUACGGCCGCAAGGCUAAAACUCAAAGGAAUUGACGGGGGCCCGCACAAGCGGCGGAGCAUGCGGAUUAAUUCGAUGCAACGCGAAGAACCUUACCAAGGCUUGACAUACAUUCGUAGUUCCCAGAGAUGGGGGUGCCGUAAGGCGGGUGUACAGGUGGUGCAUGGUUGUCGUCAGCUCGUGUCGUGAGAUGUUGGGUUAAGUCCCGCAACGAGCGCAACCCUUGUUCCAUGUUGCCAGCGGGUUAUGCCGGGGACUCAUGGGAGACUGCCGGGGUCAACUCGGAGGAAGGUGGGGAUGACGUCAAAUCAUCAUGCCCCUUAUGUCUUGGGCUUCACGCAUGCUACAAUGGCCGGUACAGAGGGUUGCGAUCUCGUGAGGGUGAGCGAAUCCCGUAAAGCCGGUCUCAGUUCGGAUUGGGGUCUGCAACUCGACCCCAUGAAGUUGGAGUCGCUAGUAAUCGCAGAUCAGCAACGCUGCGGUGAAUACGUUCUCGGGCCUUGUACACACCGCCCGU
rnacentral:rRNA from 1 species